rnacentral:rRNA from 1 species
CUACGGGUCGCUGCAGUGAGGAAUAUUGCGCAAUGGACGAAAGUCUGACGCAGCCAUGCCGCGUGCAGGAUGACGGCGCUAUGCGUUGUAAACUGCUUUUAUAGGCCAAGAAACCUUCGGACGUGUCCGAAGCUGACGGUAGCAUAUGAAUAAGCACCGGCUAACUCCGUGCCAGCAGCCGCGGGUAAUACGGAGGGUGCAAGCGUUAUCCGGAUUUAUUGGGUUUAAAGGGUCCGUAGGCGGAUCAUUAAGUCAGUGGUGAAAGCCGGCAGCUCAACUGUCGAACUGCCAUUGAUACUGGUGAUCUUGAAUACGGUUGAAGUUGGCGGAAUAGGUCAUGUAGCGGUGAAAUGCUUAGAUAUGACCUAGAACACCGAUUGCGAAGGCAGCCAACUAAGCCGUUAUUGACGCUGAGGGACGAAAGCGUGGGGAGCGAACAGGAUUAGAUACCCUUGUAGUC